rnacentral:lncRNA from 1 species
ACUGCCCUUGGUUUCGUAACUCACUGCUCUUGGUUUUCUAUGUGGGAGUUGGUCCGGAUAACAUAUCUUAACGAGGGAUAUAAAAGGGCGAAGGUCAAUGAAAUGGGGUCCUUAUAGGUAUCUGCCCAUGUUCAAUCACUGAAGUAAUGAAUCUAAACAAGAAAACGAAGUAGAAGUGAAAAGCUUUUCGAAUAUAUUUUUAUAUCUCUUUGCUCAGUUUUCCCCUUUAAUGUCCCUCUCCAUUAUUAUUCAGAGUAAUGUGCUCCUCGCUGAGCUUUAUGAUUUCCAUUGUCAUUCUUCCCUCUCCUCUCUGAUUGCUUUUCAUCGUCUCUUUGCGUUUACCCUAUUUUCGUGACUCUCCUCUCUUUCUUCUCCCGUACCAUUAUUUUGAUCGUUUCUGAAUCUUGAGAUUGCUUCAAUGCAUGUGAUCCCUCUCCUCAGCCUUCCCCUCCUAAAUCUUAGAAUCCUAAUGCCGCAGGUGCUAUGUCGGAAAUCCAUUUUUUUAUCCCCAAGGAAAAUCAAAGAAGAAGAAAGCCCUGGUAUUCUCUACUUGAAUUCAGGAAGAUUCAGAUACCGAAAGCAAUAGGAAUGGGAAAGCGGAGCGGGCAAUAGGUUUAUGACUGAGCACUAGAGCCUGGAAUAGCAGGAAUGAAGGUUGGGAAAUAUGCCAUGCAGAAUUCCAAUAAGUUGGCACUGCUUUCCCUUUCCAUAUGAAAAAUGGAGAGGAAAAGCAUGGGUGGACCAAGCGUUUUAACCGGAAUCUAGUGACGGAGAAAGAAGAAAGAUUUUUAAGCGCUAGAUAGGGUCACAAUUCAAUAAAGAUACUUGGCUGGAUGGCGAAGCUGUGUUUUCUCUCCCAAAUCGAGAUCAAAGUCUUGCUUGACAGCGUGAGGAACUUUGAAUGCUCCGUACAAAGGGUCAUAGGGAGCUUUUGGAGGUCAGGGAGAAGUGUGUGUGGCCACUGUGCGCAAGCAUUCUGUACGGCGAUCUUGCUGAGGAGGUCCCCGGUCCCACCUCCAUAAAGAAGAUCUGGUGACUGCCCAUUGUCUUGUUUUGACUUGGAAGUCUCCUCAAAAUAAGGCAAGUGAGUCAACGAUCUCUGUAAGAGGAAUUGGAAGAUGGGGGUUCCAUGGCGCACUGAGAUGAAAGGCUGUCUUGGACGUGCAACCCCUUAUCCCUAUCCCUUUGUAGAUGAAUCCCAUGCAACGCGCCCUUGCUUGGAUGAAAAAAUGUCAUAAGGGGGACUCGUUUCACUUGAUUCGUUCCGUCGCACCCGCACUAUUCCUAAAUUUCUUUUCUGUUUCUAUUUUAAAAAAAAGGUCGAACUCAUUUCGUAUAGAAAGAAAGACGUGUCGGGUUUGGAUCGAGUGACACAGGAGGUGCUUCUGCGUGGCACUCUUUUUAAUGGGCUUUACCGUCUUUCUUUACCUUCAGAACACAAAGCUUUGCUUGGCGAAAUAACUCCUGCCUAUAUUUGGCAUCUCAUCUACUUAAUUUAAUGACAUUCCAUAUCUCAGGAAGGAAAAAAAGCGAAUGGAAUUUCAGUCAAGUCUUUUUUUCAGCUUUAUCCUUCUCUCAAUCAAAGAAAGGGAAUGCAGAUGUUCUGUCGCCCUCUCUUCGUAUGCCACCAGCCUUCCUCUCAAAACCAUACUGAUCCGAUCUUGCGCAGAUAGGUAGGGACGAUCCCUCCAGUAACCAUGCCUAAAAUCAUAAGCCGACCCAUUACUUCUGUAGGUGCCUCAAUUCUUCCCAUUUUCCUACUUAUAUAACUCUUUGGUGUCCAUACCGCACUUGGGGACGGGAUAUGAUUGCUUUCUUAAACAAACCUUUUAGAGCGUUGUCAUCUUACCAGCACAGGACUCAAUAGUAAGGACUGUCACUACAUUGAUAUCGCUCAUGGAUCGUGUUAUACUUGGGAAGAUCCGGCCCAAGGGGAAGUCUGUUAUCCACAACCCAACCUUAGAUGAGGGAGAAGUUCACGCUUGAUCUUCGACCCAAGACAAUGGAAGGGAGCUAAAGCCUUCUUCCUUUUUCAAAUUCGUUUAUAUGGAGCAAAAAGAGGUCGUGUCAUACCAUUUAUUCCGCCAAGAAGCAUUCGUCUACGGCACUUAGAACGCCUCGACACAUUUGUACUCACGCCUAGGACGGUCUUUCACACGGAAGUAAGAUUAGAGAGUUUGAUCAUAGUUUGACCGUAGUAAAAAAGAAGUCCCUUUCUCAUUUGCUUCCUGGUCAUCUCUAUAGAGAUAGAAGAAAGAAGUCCCAAGCAAGGGUCAUGCUAUUUCUAUUCUUUUCACUAUUGUUAUUCCCUAUUUCCUUAACUGAUCUUGAGUUGUACCGAAACAACAGAAAUAUGGUCUCUCAUAAAUUGAUUUCUUUCAUCACUGUUCUUAAAUCAAUCCGUGUCAGGUACAGAGCCAAUCUUCACAUCCCAUAGGUAAAACAAGUCGCUUUAUGGGCUCCUUGUGAAACUACAACCUUUCUGAAGCCCUAGUCAAUAAGUUGUGCGAAACCUCAAUUGGUAAGAGGAGUAAACACCUAUUCUUUGGCCAUUCAAAACAUCGAAUUGGUUGGCUCGCUCAACCUCUCGAACCGGGACAAAACUUCCCAGCGUUGCAUUCACCGCCUAGCCUCGUCCAACAUGACUGUAAGGCACGUUUUGCAUGCCUUUAAAGUGUACCCCCUCGGAGGUAUCAAAAAGUGCGAGAAAUCGCAUUGAUGACUAAUAAAGUAGGGUUUUCACUCGUGUGGGUUCGCCCACCUUCCCUUCAGCAGCUCUCCCUGGACACCCUAUACUAAACUGAGGAAUUACUUAAGCUCCUGGCUUUUUUUCCGACAACUCAAAGCCGCUGCACCGACAGAUAACAUGCCGUGGAUCUUAUGUGGCGCUAAAACUUCAUGAUAGAUCAAAUCCUGAUUACGACUGGAGAGGGACGUUGAUGUUCCAAACAUUGGGUUCAAGAGCUCGGUUUGAUAGACAUAAACCUCAGUGAUCGGCUUUACAGAUUCAUGGCCUCCUGCUUGAACAUUGUCCCAAAAACAACGGUCACACCCUUGCCAAACACCUCCUCAACCGACGAUAAUAUAUCAGACAUUGGACUGCAGGGCCUUAGUUGGCCAAGUAUGUUUUGUAUAUAAGGAUCCAUGGUCUUAUCAAACUCCAAUUACCAAAUGGUACAUACAGGAGUUGUUGCAUAAAAGGAAGUACCAUUGCCACCAGUGAUCUUUAAAAGUGAGAAACUAAACUCAUCACGUUAGGAGAAUCCUCUAAACUUAAUAUAAUAGGCUCACUUUAUCACUAGAAACUUUUUAGUGAUGACCAAAUAACAAAAACACUUCGUUGAAUGACGUGUUGUUAAAGAAAAUAGCUGCGUCGCCCCCCUUCAAGACAGGAAACUAUAGACAGGUACCUGAGGUGCCCUGCUGAGAGAAGAAUUUGUCAACAAUCAAGCACUUGAGCUUGCAAGAAAAAAUAUAUGAUGUCUAUGCUAUUAUUGGGAUAAAAUGAAUCAAAAAAGCAGCAGAAUACGAGAAGGAUUUCUUUUCUUAAAGGGUGUAUACAUUAGAGUGUACCUGCUUGGUAGGCAUGAAAUCACUGACAAAGAGUUGCCUAGCUCCGAUGAGCUUGCAAGCAGAAUUUGGAAUUUCAUAGAAGCGGGCAUAGCUAGGGGUGAACCACGAGAAGUUAGAGCAAUUAAUGGGUAGGUAUCGUAAACAUCCUGAGUGUAUCACGGCAUUGAAGCAGAAGAAACAGAAAUGUUUUCCUUUCUUUCGCAUUUGAUUUGCAUGCCCCCUGUAGAUUUGACCCGGAGCCAAUGCCAGUCUUUUUUGCGAUCAAAUGCACUUGAGCUAGUCACUAAGUAAGGCGACAGCACCAAAAGAUGUGCAUGUGUCAUUAGGCCAUUGGAUUACUCAACAAAAAGUGAAGUGCCAAACGAUGAAGAAGAACACUUGAAACCAGGCACUGAACCCUAAAUGCUUCGCCUGGCUAACCAGAUAGAUUACUUCUAUCUGCUAGCUUGCCCUAAGAAAAACAACAGUUCCACAGAUAUCUCCAGUGCUUUUCUAUUCGAAACACAAGGGCGCUAAGCAAAGAGAAUUUCAAUUAACGAACAGUAGGUGCUUUUUCUUCCUUGGCCCAUCUCAGUGAUAUGUAGGCUCUCAGCCCUUACUUGAAUCAUCCGUCCUCCCUAUAGAAAGAAAGCGAUUUUACGCCCUCCCGAAGGAAAAUGUUUGGGCCGGCUGGAGCUCGACACGGAGCAAAAUGUAGAUGAUCUCCGCAAAUGGGCGAGGUAGGAGGACAUGGUUGGAAGUUUUUUGACACGAGGCCUUGCGCAAAAGACGAGUACUUCAGAGCCCACCAGGAAAAGGAUAUUGGUUCGCAUCUCUAUAUUGAUCCGCGGCGCUUCUAUGAAGUUUUCCUUGCCUCCGAUUUCAAAGCUGAAUGGAUGACUGAAUCUGUCGAAGCAUCAUUCGAUAUUUGCAGAUUGACGUAAUGCUAUGAGGAGUUAGAGUCUUCUGCGGGAAAGACAUUUCUUGUAGAGUUUUUUAGAUCUUUUUGCUCUACUUUUUCGAGUAUUCCUUACAUAAGAUCUCGGAAGAGCCGAUGUUUCCUUCCGUUCCCGGUAAAUAGGAAUUCUAUAUCCUCUAGCUCUUCGUGACCUGUUGUGUCUGCCCUCGACUUAGCCGUCAUAGAAUAGAAAGGUUUAUAACCGUUGAAAAGGAUAUUCUAAACGUUAAGGGGCGCUCAACCUUCCACUCAAAUCCUUUUUACCAGAAGGGAGCUCGCCUGCCACGACAUAUAAGGGAAAAGGCAAUGUGUGGAACUAGAUCAAGUUUGAUCUGCCACUUACACUGGAAGGGCAAGAACUAAUGCUUAUGCAUAUUCUUCCACGGCAUAUAGAAGGUUAACUACUCCAACUCGAUGGCUGAGAGAAAAGUGAAAUCCUAGCUUUCCCUAGAAUCAGCUCUUUACUAUCCUGCCCCAGGGGGUUUUCGGAGACAUUGAACCCUAGAUUUAGAAGCUUUCCCAAACAAACCUUUUGACCAGGAAAAGGCAUACCAAAGAUUUUUGGAAAGACACAUUGAAAUGGAAGCUCUCGAACCUAUUCCGAAGUAAGUUUAGGAUGAGGUUUCCGAUCCGGUUGGUGUUCCGACAUCCCGAAUCGAGGUGGCUCUAAACUCAGGUUUGCCUACCUCUCUAGUUACAGAGGGAGGAGAGGGGCUUCGUCUUUUUAGGUCUCUGAAAAGCCAGUUGACAUGUGCGAUCCAAUCAAGGAGGCAGUACUUCUGCCUGAGUUCCUCUGGAUCCUACUCGUCGGGAUUACCGUGCUCCCGCAGGUUGUUCACCAUGCGUUCCAUAGCACUUUGACUUUAUAUCUUUUACCAUCUUGGAAUCAUGUAGAUGUAGAUUGCUUUCAUCGCAGGGUCAUUCCUGAAGGUGGAUUGUACCAGCUCUUCGUCAUCAUAAAUAGCAAGCCACUCCUUGUUUAUUACUCCGCUUUUUCACUCUCUCAUUCUUAGUUAACCAUUUCAUUCUAUUGAAUCUUUGGUACUUUGAGUUUUGAACAAUAGUUAGAAUUUAUUAUUAAGCAAUCCCCCGCUUUUUGACUUCUUUCUCUCUUUCCUUGGAAAGAACAGUUGUUUAUUAAGGCCGCUUUUCUAGAAUCUACUUUGAAAGUGGAAAAUAGGUCUCUUCUUCAAUGAAGGGAGAACUAUUCACUAAGCCAACAGGUUAGCGAAGGAACUUUUGCCGGUCUUGCUGCUUUAAAGCGAAGGAGCCUUCCUUAUUCCUAUGGUCAUUAGAAUAACCUAUUCAUCCUCUUGGCCACUCUGAACUCAUAGGUAGCUGUGGUUCGGUUUACCUUCUUUCGCUUUGCCUUGGGUUCGGUGGUAGUAAUAGUCCUUCUUUAGCUCGCUCCUCCUUUCUUGGGUUCCCUAACUGUCUGCUAUUGCUAAAGCCCAACCUAUGCCUCCGGCAAAGGCAAGACGGAAAGCAAGCAUUAAGUGAAGAAGCAAGUUCAAUUACUCAAACGUUGGAACUUAUUGUAAAACACAUUCCGUCGCCCAAGUCAGAUCAUUGCCUACUGGCCACGAGGCUUAUGAGGCCAGCGGAGGAGGUGGAGGGAAACGUAUGAGAUGAGGGAUUUGGACUUGCUACACUUACCAGAUGUGAGGUAGUGAAAUGCUUUCCUUCCAUAGCGAACUUUCCCAUAGCCGUAGUUCCAGACUCUCCGAAGCCUAUGACCAAGAGUAAGGGCACUCAUUAGGCUGCACCGAUUAGAGAGAGUACGUCGUCUAUUCAUUCCACUCAUUCCUUAACGUCCAAAGCUAAGAAUUCAAAAAGUUAAUAGGUGGGUAGGUGUUCUUAGGUUCGUAACAUGCCUUUCUCAGAAGCCUUGUUGAAUUAAUGGCAAGGGAGAUAUUAGCUUAAUGGCUUGGCUAUGCUUGAGUCAGCGGAAAUCAUUUAUGAUGAAUAAAAUCAAUCAGAGGUAGUUACCUCUCCUGUAGCCGGGUAUGAGAGGUCUAGUUCGGUGAGAAUAGAUAGGGAUAGAAAGACCAUCCUGGUGCACAUGCUAUGGGUCUUAUUGUUUGUUGGGAAAGCAAGGAAGACUAGCUUUGGCGUGGGAAGCUUACCAAUUUAUGCGGUGGCUACUCGAUCGAGAAGAAAGAGCAGUUGUUACCCGCCUCCACUAUUAAGCAGCAUGAGCCACUAGACUGACUCGAUAUCCGUGUGUGGAUCCGCCCGAAGGCAGUCGAUUGGAAAAGAUGAAGACAAGGAAGAGCCAUUCUUCAUACAUAGGAGCGAGUGGUCGAAAUGGAAAGUGGACAAACGGAAUUCUGUACAACUAUAGGGUUCGGUUCUUUCUUCUGUCCCAGGUCCUUUCUUCUCUUGCGGAUCUUUCUUACUUUUAUUCCUCAGCUCGCUUACAAAAACUACAUAUUUUUUUUUAGAUAUGGACCCGGGGUUCUCGCUUCUGCGCAAGCUAUUUCCGAACCUGCCUGCCUUCGGGGAGAUGGGUUGGGUCAUACGCGGGACCUACCCCGAGGAAGGAGGCUUGAGGCGCGCUAAAUACAAUUGUUUUAUCAACACGGGGUGGAGAAGGCAUUGCAAUUUCCUGCUUUUAUGAUUGCUUCGAUUCCUCUGAUUCUUCUUCUGACAGGAAUUACUGAUCCUUUAUUGGCUAUGUCAUCCUCUGUUUAGUAGAUGUAUGGUAUGGUAUGGUUACUAGGUAGUGUUGCUCGAUACCCGAGCUUGCACCAGUAUUAGCUGGCUAUUCCACUAUUGCCAAAAGAAUUCUGGCUAUUGGCUUUCCAGCUUUCACCUCUCUGCAGCUUCUGGAGCUGCUUAAGCGCUUAACUUCUACCAAAGUGUGGUAUACAUUGGAUGGAAUUAGAGUGGGCGUGGCUACCUACAUCGGGCAAGAAUAGGAGUCGUAUUUCGUUUUGUACCACCGAAUAAGAUAGCGAGAAAUCAGAUCAAGAAUGGAACCUGUGGACCCUCCGACAGUACGAGCCCUUGUUCGCUUGGUUGCUCAACCCCUAUCUCCCAGGCUACGACCUAUCGCAUUGCCUUCGAUGAGUCUAUAUCGGAUGGGUGUUCAAGUCUUUUGAAAAACCAGCCCAUUCUAGUCUAUCUGUCCCACUCUAAAGAAGAUAGUGAACCUGAGGUUGUGCUGUCUCCAAUCCCACGAGUCCAAUAGGAAGAGCUAGUCCUCUAAAGUAAAGUAGGCGAAUUAUGGCUAAAUAAAAGAAUUCUUACUUUCACGGCCAUCAAACAUUCCAAGACAUCUCUUCAAGACUAUCCGACUCAGCUCUGGCGUAGGCAGAGCCAGGAACUAGAUCCGUAUCCCAUGAUCAGUAAUCUUACAAUUACACAACCACCAGAUCCUUUAGGUUUGUUCGAUCUAUCGAUAACUGAUAGAUAGACGCCUUUGACACUUCCUCCAGGUGGAGUUGAUUAACACUCUCAUGGUUGGUCGAUGGAAAUAGCAAGACGAGACAGACAUGAUAAUCUGAGAAAUAUAUGUGGUGAUCCCUUAAGCAAUAUCUAAGAAUUAAAUGUGUCCAAGAUUCAAUUGAUUGGUUGAAGCCAAGGUCUCGAGCUAGUCCAUCUUCCUAUAUGAUAUUCUUAAUAAUGCGCAGCACCAAGCCUGAAAUUGGGGAAUGAAUUGAAUCGAUUGCCUUCCUUUCCUGGACUGGACUGAAACUAAUAGGCUGCUUCCUCGUCUGUACUUCAACUAGGAGGUUGUUGAUAUCACUCUAGAUUCUCGAAAGGAUAUUGGAUUGAUUUCAAAUCAAGGAAACUAUUGAAAUCGGGUAGCGAACCUAUUGUUCCUUAUUCUUUUAUCCUCCUCGGCUCUAGUUGAACAAUGCACACACCCCGCUUUAGCUGCACAUAAUAAGGUGAUCCGUGAGGCGGCUAGCUAUUAGUUAGUGCGAUGUGCAGUGAAGUGAGAGAUCUCUCUACUCUAGUAGACCAGAUGAAAUAGCUGCAAUGACUAAUGUUUGAUUGGGAAGACAGAAUAAAAUACUCAACUAAACAUUGACGAUUCUUUUCCAGAAAUCUCAAGAGCCUUUUGUUUAUUUCAAACGCUUGAGACUGAAGCCCAUUCAAAAUAUCACACAUCUGCUUGUAUUCUUUUUUAUGUAACUUUAUAUAGAAGUGGUUUAAGUCAUGGGAAGUUAAUAGCCGAAAGUGAUUCUAGAUAUCCCCCGUGGGUUUGCAUAAGUAACCUCCUAUCAGAUCCGAUAAUGUAUCAGGAUCAGACCCCCUCUCUGCUGGUUGCCAAUCCAAGGGUUUGCAAAGCAUCGAAAGAUUGAGUUUGAUAGGGAGCAGAUUUAUGUUCAAAUUGGACAUAACAUAACAAGAAUUCUCUAUAUACCCUUGACCUUUCUUAAGAACCAGCACUGGAUCUUCUUUUGUUACUCCCCUAUCUGUUGAUAUAUGUAGAACAUUUCUUUCAAUCAUGAAUUGGAGCAAGUAUUUCCCGAUAUCAUAAUGACACUGCAUUUUUUUCUUUUUCUCUUUUUUGCUAGCACCUUUGGGCUGAACAACAUCCUUAACUGAUUCUACCUUACUAGUGAGUACUGCUUCCACCUUACCACUACUUGGUGCUUUGUAUUGUAGAAACCUUGCUUGUUCUCGUACAGUUGAAUUAAGUUGAUCUAUAAAUCUAGCUGCCUUAACUGCGGAUGAUUCCUGAAGAGUGUUGAAUACCAAGCCUAGUACAUGAAUCAUGAUAGCCUCAAGCGUAUAGAUACCAAACAUCUUAAGCAUAGGUAAGCUACUUGGUAGGCAACCCUUUGGAUAUUGCUUAGCGUUAGGCUGAUCUUUAUUAAUCAAGAACUUUACUAUGUUAGGAGUUACUUUAAAUAGAUUAUCCUCAUCGAACUUCAUUGUGCAAUUUGCAAUUUGAUUCUGUAAAUCUAUUAAUUCAGUAUCAGAAAACACACCACUUUGAUUCUUCUUUUCAUUAAUCAACAACUUUCUAACAUCAUCCUGAUACAUAUCAACAUUAGAAGUCUUUUUCGUUUUGUCAAUAUCCAACAGCUUAGCGUAGUAAUCGUUCCAGAACUCCUUAAUAAUACGUGCAUUUUGCAAAGAUUUCUCAUUCUCAAUGCUAUCAUCAUAUGUCUCGGAACAAUAAAAUAGAACCUGCAUACUUUUAUUUGUUACCCUUAAAAAACCGCAGUAAGGAUACGAAUACGACUGAAAUAAACUACUAGAAUCUAAAUAUAAGGAAAGGAUCAGAAUAAGUACUAAUGCUCUGUAUAGUACUUUUCCCCGAGCGAUGGUUUAGCGGAUUCGGAAUUGUAACCAAGCAUCCUGGGUUCUAUACCCGAUUCAACACUAGAGCAUGCAGCCGAUCCUGAAUACAUAACUCUAAAAAGUGUGUGUGCAGUUUUGGAUCUUUAUUGGUAGCCAGUCUUUCACUUCUGCCUCUCCACUCCCAUGCCUUUCUUGGUCGGACCAACCCAACUGGCGAUUUCCGACGAGUCUUUCUGCUUAGAGCAAGAAGCGGAACCAAAAUAAAGCUUUCUUUAUUUUCAUUUAUGGAUAACCAAUCCAUUUUCCAAUAUAGUUGGGAGAUUUUACCCAAGAAAUGGGUACAUAAAAUGAAAAGAUCGAAACAUGGGAAUAGAUCUUAUACCAAUACUGACUACCCAUUUCCAUUGUUGUGCUUUCUAAAAUGGCAUACCUUUACAAGGGUUCAAGUUUCGAUCGAUAUUUGCGGAGUGGAUCAUCCCUCUCGAAAACGAAGAUUUGAAGUUGUCCAUAAUUUACUGAGUACUCGGUAUAACUCACGCAUUCGUGCACAAACAAGUGCAUACGAAGUAACACGAAUAUCUCCAGUAGUCAGUCUAUUUCCAUCAGCCGGCCGGUGGGAGCGAGAAGUAUGGGAUAUGUCUGGUGUUUCUUCCAUCAAUCAUCCGGAUUUACGCCGUAUAUCAACAGAUUAUGGUUUCGAGGGUCAUCCAUUACGAAAAGACUUUCCUCUGAGUGGAUAUGUGGAAGUACGCUAUGAUGAUCCAGAGAAACGUGUGGUUUCUGAACCCAUUGAGAUGACCCAAGAAUUUCGCUAUUUCGAUUUUGCUAGUCCUUGGGAACAGCGUAGCGACGGAUAAUUCCGAAUCUACAUAGGUCUAGUCCAGGGGACAAAUCAAUAGGAAAUGCUAUUUGCUUCUUAAGAAGAAGAACUUUUUUGAAAUGAAAGAGUUUCCACGGGCGUCGGAUAUCAUUUCUUCAAAUAAGGAAGAAGUGUUAUCGAAGGAUUUCCUUCCAUUCUUCCUAGUAUGGAAGAAGUAAAGAAAAAGUACUGCGUCUCGAUCUAUACGAAAGGGCACUGGUUUUUUCUUUCGGUUUCAUUGAUAGCAGAAGAGUACGCUAGCUAGCGGAGCCUGAAAACGCUUGCUUGCGCCCCACCCCUACGGAAACUAUUGCCUAUGCUUGCUGCUCGCUCAGUGUCAGUAGAAGGGAAGAAAAGAUGGUCACUCCUUUUAGGAACAUGGCGAGCCUUACUUACGACUGUUGCACUUCACUCGCUGCUCGUUCAUUCACUUGCUCAUGAACUCGCUGCUUCGCCAGAAGUGACUAGUCGCCUCCUUUCCUCCGCCGAAAGAUGCUUAGCCAGAAGCGACGAAGGAGGGGAGCUGGGGAAGGCCGACGAUGGCAAUGAGGGGGAAGCUGUUGUAGAAGCUUUGCCCCUUGCUUUACAUAAAUGGAUUGUUAUGAACUUACUAAAUGACCUUAUUUAUUCUCCCGGAACGCUAGCAAAUCUAAUAGUUCCAUCUGCUCUUCUUAACUUAAGAACGAAGGCCGCCAUCCUUCUUAUUCAGGAACCCUUUGUUUGAGGAGGGCGUAUCCCCGGGAAGGGGAGAGUGGCCGAGCGGUCAAAAGCGACAGACUGUAAAUCUGUUGAAGGUUUUCUACGUAGGUUCGAAUCCUGCCUCUCCCACUUGUUGUAGACUUAAGAGAAGAGAAAGUAGGCGGAAGCCUAGGAGGGCCAACCGAGCGAAGCUCUUUUUUUUGCCGUGCCGUGAAGUGCAAUUUUCUCGUAUGCGUUUUAGAGAGGUUGUCGAAAAAAGACGAUCUAUAGAGAUUCCCCAUCUAUAUCCAAUCGAGAAUAGAAGCGAGUCGCUUCCGGCGUCGGCUUGUAGUCUCUGCAGUCGGCACACGCACGCGCCCGCCAUCAUGCCUCCUUGGUUCGGGACGAAGCCAAGCGAGACAUACGAUAGACGAAGGAAGCGCCCACCCAGCAGGAGGGCUAAAACCUGUAGUUUUGAAGUUGCAAACUCCAGCUUCGAAGCUGGAGUGCUUUAGCCCUUUUUUAAGCAAGAAUCACCGUCUUGAGCGCCUUGCGCGCUCAAGAACAAGCAAGGGAUGAGCGCUUUGUUGCUAAAGCGGAUACGUUUUCUUGCUGGGGAAGGCUAGUUUGAUCGAGGAUUGGAGAGGAGGGAGAGGUGGAAUAAAAAGCUCGGGAUGGAUUUGGGAGUCUUUGUGCGAGCCGUAUGCGGUGAGAGUCGCACGUACGGUAAGGAGGGGGGUUCGCGUCUAUACGUGUAGUGUGGUGGUUGGGCCUACCCACCCUAUUUGUUCCAUGAUCUAUGGGUCUACUGGAGCUACCCACUUCGAUCAAUUAGCCAAGAUUUUGACCGGAUACGAAAUCACUGGUGCUCGAUCUAGUGGUAUUUUUAUGGGGAUUCUUUUUAUCGCUGUAGGAUUCCUAUUCAAGAUUACUGCAGUUCCUUUUCGGGCGGCUGUAGGACGGACGGCCCCCUAUAGGUAGUAGGGUAGGGUGGGUGGUACCGCUCAGAUAGCGGCCAAUCCUCCUAACUGCGCGCGGGCCGGGCUUAGAGCGCGUGAAACUCAUCACUACCUCGUAAGGGCGUUGAGACCAUAGCAUGUUACACAAAAGCGCCGCUUUCUCAGGAGUGUUGUCACACAGCUGCCCGACUAGAAGAGCUACUCGCUCUGUAGUGUUGUCACACAAGAUAAGCACGCCGCCCGCCUGCUGGCCGGGCGAAUCGAAGUUAUCUUCCGGUCAACUGUCCACCCAGUCAAGUGCAAAAAACACAGUGGAAUCACGCAACGCACGCUACUGGUGUGCUUCCUGCCCACGAGGAAAGAAGAGCGACAAGGUUCAGAUUUGACUGUUUGCAGCAUGGGAGCUGAUUACCCAAAAAAUCCCUGGGAAAAAAGAAAAGAUAUCUCGGUAACGAAAACCAUAGGAGGCUGUAUUGGCGAGAUCCAAGGGUUCACAGCAGCCCAAAAGAAAAACCGCCUGGAAGUCCGAGGACCUUUAGUACCGUAACGAACCAGCAGCCUUCGCGCCAAGCGACGACCGCCCUUGUCCCUUUCCUUUUUCCAUUCAGCCUACUUCUUAGCUUUGUUCCGUCAGUCUAAGGCAAAGCUUAAGUGGUUUGCCUACCUUACCCACUUGAUGAAAGGGAACGAACUUCGUUUCCUUGGCGGCUUUAUGGAUGGAUUCAGUCAGAAAAAACUCCUUCCUUUUGAAAAAACUGACGCUUUGCGUCUUCGCUUCCGAGGGUUAGGGUAUAGGCCGUUUCGAGCAAGCUUUCGCUUUUUCUCCCGGCUUUCUACAACUUUCUCUUUAGCUUCCAAAGGCGACCCAAUGACCUUUCUGGAAUUGGAAGUAUUCGUCGCCCUACCCUAAGAAAGAAGUCAUUAUAAAACAGCUUGCCCUCCAGAAGUACCAAAGGUGCGCGGAGCCCGGUGAAAAUGAAUAUGUUUGCUACUGAAAGAAGCCUGCCUAUUGACUAAUAUUCGUCUUUAGAAUGAAAGUAGCUAUGAAGCCCAAUCUAUACUGUCGAUUCAAAAGGGGGCAUAGUCAUAUGGGUGGGGUGUUUGUGGGGAGCUGCCUUGGAUAUGAGGAAUUCCUCCAAUCUAAAAAAAAUGAACAAAGAAAAAGUCCGUGACGAAGAUCUUUCUUUUCUAUCAAUAGAUAGGAAUGAGUGUUCGUUAUAGGGGAUAGGAUCCAUCUGCU